AACACAAACAUUUGCAGAAUGAUGCUCUAUCACUGUGUGUCCAAGCCCCUACUGGCCUCAAGUGGUAAGAACUACCCAACUGCUGCUCAUCCUCAUUCUAAAAUGAUGAUCCUGGCUGUUGCCUAAUAAUUCAGUCUUUCCAGAUCCUAUCACAACUCCUGUGAGGCAAGCAGGACAGAGGUUAUCUCCAUUUUACAGGCAAGGAAACUGAGUCUUAACUGAGGGGUUUCAGAAAAGUGGCAGAGCUGGGACUUGAACCCAGGACUCAUGUCCCAAGUCCCAUACCCUUUCCAUAGCAUCAUGGUAGUAGGAAGCUGGGGGCUGUGCAUGGCAAAGUGAGCACUUAGGUCUUUAUGUUGCUGAUGGACUAGGUCAUUUGCCUUUUUCCAUCAGUAUCUGUUGCUUUGCCAGUAUUGUUUUUUGUGAACUGUCUGUCCAUCUGCAUUAUCAGAUUAUUUUUCAUAAGUAAUUGAAAUGGGACAUAGUAUAGUGUAGAGGAAUCAAAAGCGCAGACUUCUGUGUCAGACUUCUGGGUUCAAGUCCCAGCUCUACUACUCACUACCCAUGUGACCUUGGGCAAAUUAUUAUAUAUUAUAAAUACAGCACAUGGUAUUAUACUUUUAUAUCUUUAAAAUGGUGAUAUUACCUACCUCCUAGGGAUAUGGUAAGGAUUAAAUGAAAUAAUUUAUCUAAAAUGAAUAUAAAAUGCUUGGCACAACUUUGCCUAGUUCUAAGAGGGUGGAGAGUGGGAUGGGGUUGUUGAAUAGGGUCUAAAUUUUAAAAAGAUAUGUAAAAGCACAUUUUAAACUGAAAAGUGCUUGGAAAAUUUACUGUCUUUUUGAAAAACUAUGCCAUGCCAUCUUUCUCACUCUUAUAACCAUCUUCAUUGUAACAUUUGUGAAGCACUUUAUAGUUCAGAAAGCAUUUUUCCCUUAGAUCCUCCUGACAGCUCCCUGUGGUGUGAAAAGGAGCUAUCAUCUACACUUGCUGCAGCGAACACUGGACAGUGAUAUUAAAACCUAGAGCAUGAGGAAGCCAGUGAGGAGAAGCUGGUGAGAGGCUCUGCCCUCAGAUGAGAGGAACUGGAAUUCACACAUGCUCCAUCUGCCUCUGCAAACUUCGGAUGACUCAGUGUCUACCCAGCGCCUGGUCAUCGGCAUUCCUGCCAAGUGGAUCUCAGGACAAAGAAAGGACAUGACUGCCUGAAGAGGGCCCAGACAUGCAGUGGGGCAGGUGCUGGCAUCUGAGAAAGUCCUAGGAGAGAACCUCCUCCAGUGUGUGAAGAGCUUCCCAAGCACCAGGUCCACUGACUGUGGCGUCAAAGACAGUGAAAAGCUGGCCUUGGGGUGAUGCCAUCCAGGAAGGCAUGCCAGAUCAGAUGCCCAGCAACUAUCAUCUUCUCUGCUUGGGCCCUACUGCUGUGGUUCAAGAAGGAACUACCUGAGCAACUGACACUUCUGCCAGCCACCAGUCCCUGUCACUGUGCAUCUUUGCCAAGCUAAUGUGCUCCCUGGAGGAUGGGACCAGCACAGAGUCAGGUAGGGCCUGGGGCUGGGUGUGUGACCUGUGUGUAGUGAUGGAGACUAAUUCAAAGCAGGGUGGGAGUGAGACAGAAGUGUGGUACAAAUAGCAUGGAGAAUGGGCUCAAGGUGCAGGAAGGGGCAAGGAUGAAAGCUGAGUUACAGGCCAGCUCUGCCACUGACAAGCUGUGAUUUCCCUCACCCCAAAAUGACAGUAAUGACACUUCACCUCCCUGAAGGCAGGAGCCAGGUUAAAGGGGCAUGUUGGAGUGAUCUUAAAUGACAGCUGUGACUGUGACAGGAACCCCCUGUGUUUAUGAUUUGAGAUUUUAUGUAACUGCACUUGAAAUAUUCAUGUGUGUGGAUUUUGUAUAUGCAUGGGUAGUUGCAUGUUGUCUCCAGUGCAUGUACAUAAUCUGUGUCAUGUAUUACAUGUGUUCUAUAUGGGGGCAAGAACAGGUUACACGUUAUAUGUGAUAUACUAAUGUAUGAGUUACAUAUUGUACAGUUUGGGUGUUACAGUUUUUGGGUUUAUGGGCUACAUGUCAGUAUUAUGGCUGCUGUAUUGUUAUAAUUUAUCUGUUGUAUAUUGUAUUUAACUUGCAUAUGAACUCCAGACUCAUAUAUCCAGCUGCCUUCUCAAUAUCUCUACUUGGAUACCUAACCAGUUUUCUUAAACAUAACAUGUCCAAAACAGCCUAAGAUUCCUCCAAACCUGCUUCCCUCACCAUCUUUCCCAAGCCCAUACGUAGCAAUCUUAUUUUUUCAGUUGCUGUAACUUUUUUUUCCACAUUCCACAUUCAAUUCAUAAGCAAAUCCUGUUGGCUGGCCUUUGCACUAUAUCUGCAGUCUGUCCACUUUUCAUUAUUCCCACAGUAAUAAUGUGGGAAUAAGGGUUCAGCCACCAUCACCUCGCUUCUGGAUUAUUGCAAUGACCUCUUAAGUGGUUUCCCUGCCUUCUCCCUUGUCCUCUACAGUCUGUUCUCAAUACUGCAGUCAGAAUAAAAUGUCACACCAUGUCCCUUCCCUACUCAGAGCCCUCAAUGGUUUCCCCCCAGUUAGAGUGAAAUCCAGAGCUGGCUCUUACAAUGGUCUAGAAGGCCCUUUGGGCUGCCCCAAGCCACCUCUCUGGCUUCAUCUCUUCCUAGUUUCCUUGCUCCAACUGUACCAGCUUCCUUGCUAUUCCUUGAACAUACUAGGCAUGCUCCUGCAUUAGGGCUUUUGCGGUUUCUGUCUCUUCAGCCUGAAAUGCUUGUUCCUAUAGAUAAUUGCAUGGUAGCUUACUGUCUCACCUCCCUCACUCCCUUUUUAUUUAUUAUUAUUAUUAUUUUUUUUUUUAGAAAAGGUCUCACUCUGUCACCCAGGCUGGA
rnacentral:lncRNA from 1 species